UUUAAUCUUCCUGGUGCGAUAAUCUGUUAUUUUCCACCUGGCAACGCUCAUGGAAACUAACCACUGUAGCGUCACAUCCGGGUAUUAAGUACCUCGUUCAUUUAAUUAACGUUAAACCUGCGCUGCAAUAUUACUAUACUAAAUGCUUUAUUUUGCUAGCUGUAAAACCGAGUUUUACGAUGAUUUCCCUCGCAAGGGCGAUUACUUUAAACGCUCUGGUGCGAUAAUUUGUCAUUUCCCAUCUGGCAACGUGAUGAGGACCUAACCAGCCGUACGUCACAUCCGGUUAUUUCAAACAUUCGAAUGGCGUCUCCGAGCUGAACAUGACUACGAUCUCGGCAAAACAAUCUGCUGUCAUCCAACCGAUGUUAUGUAUUUCAUCACUCUGUUUACGUUCAAUUUGUAUGGCGCGACUAAAGUCAAUAUGAAAAGGACUGACAAAAUGAAGCAAAGUCCCGAUGUCUGCAGGCCUCCUGACUGACUGACUGACCCUUGAGACUUGGACAAAAUGGAGAAGUCAGGAAUGACGAGGUGAAGCAAAGGUGUGUGUCCUGCCUUCCAACUGACCUGUGGGACUCCCGUAGAACUUGGACAAAGUAGAGAAUUCAGGGUUGUCGACUGGCUGGACAGAAAAGGGUGCUGCGGAUUUUCAUACCCGGACCAUGAAAAGGGUUCACUGCAUGAUACCUCCUUGAAGUAGCCUGAAUGUCAAAGGUGCCUUUGAGGCCAAUUGUGGAUGAACUUAAGCCACAGAAGGAAUCUACAUUGCAAGACUCUUUACUUGUAGGUAGGCAGUUAAAUUCAUGUCCAGUCGUUUAUUGCUGUUAAUUGGUUCCGGGCCCGCUUGUGGUAAGUUAUUUUCCGUGAAGAUAUAUAUAUACAGUAUUACAGAUGCACAUAUUUCCAUAGCCAGAGCAUAAACAACUUUAUGACCUUCUCAACACAGUUUUUAACAUGAAAGCCCCAGCACCCACAUGUUCACCAUUGGACUUGUUAAGUCCAUAUUGUAAACAUAAUAGAAAAUACAUAUCCAUCCAUCCAUUUUCUACCGCUUGUCCCUUUUGGGGUCGCGGGGGAUGCUGGAGCCUAUCUCAGCUGCAUUCGGGCGAAAGGCAGGGUACACCCUGGACAAGUCGCCACCUCAUCACAUGGCCAACACAGAUAGACAGACACAUUAAAAAAUAAAAUACUAUUUGAGAGUAGUUCAUUAAUGGUGCUCACAAAUAUGGAAGACUCGACAAAGCAGGCUUUGUACGACAGCAAGUUUUGAUUGGGACUUUGCCAGUAAAAUAUGCCAACGCAGACUUAUUUUACGGUCCUGAAUUUUUCCUGAUUCUUUAGUUCUUUUGGCCAUUUUUAUGCUUAAUAAACGCUAAUUUUGGGCCACAAUGACCAAAAUAUGCGAUGCAGUAAAACUGCAAAGUUUGAAGCACGAUGUGACGAGAGACAAGAUGCAUACCUGCCAACUA